GCCGUAUUCACUUUGAUACGGUUGAACCCAUGUAAACAAUACUCUUUGUGUGUAAAAUUUUGGGAUAUUUUCUGUGUUUGAAGAGUUCUCGCUGUGCGCUGGUCGGCCAUCUUGAAAAAAAAUUGUGAAGGUCGUAUUUCCAGCUUUCCUGCGAUGCGGAUGCCAAAAAGAAUACAGAGAAGCAAGCUGACCUUGGAGUUGGUGAUGGUUUUAGUGCUGGCAAUGGUAUCUUCCAACAAUAUACUCAUGAUGUUGCGUCAGGUGGUUGUCGGCCAAACAGCGAUACAACAGCCUAUGCCACCCACAGACAGUUUCCCGGAACUCAGACUAUCACUCACACCUGAAGACCAGGUCACCCUAGACUCACAGAAGGGAGUAUCAUUCUUUCAAGACACACAAGAAGAUAUAUUCGACUCACCCCCCGCCAAACGCGCGAGAAAAGAAUAAAUGGC